AGGUCCCGCCUGCCCAGUGAUAACCUUUUAACGGCCGCGGUAUUCUAACCGUGCAAAGGUAGCGUAAUCACUUGUCUUCUAAAUAAAGACCAGUAUGAACGGCUAAAUGAGGACAAACCUGUCUCUUAUAACUAAUCAGUGAAACUGAUCUCCCAGUACAAAAGCUGGAAUAGCUACAUAAGACGAGAAGACCCCGUGGAGCUUUAAACAAAUCACUAAACAUUAUAGUGUACUGUUUUAAGUUGGGGCGACUUCGGAAUAAAGAAAAACUUCCGAGCACAGAACCACUUCUUCUAACUAAGGUAAACAAACCUAAGUACAAAACUGAUCCGGUCACACCGACCAACGAACCAAGUUACCCCGGGGAUAACAGCGCUAUCUUCUUUUAGAGUCCCUAUCAACAAGAAGGUUUACGACCUCGAUGUUGGAUCAGGACACCCAAAUGGUGCAGCCGCUAUUAAAGGUUCGUUUGUUCAACGAUUAACAGUCCUACGUGAUCUGAGU
rnacentral:rRNA from 1 species